rnacentral:tRNA from 1 species
GGGUCGUUAGCUCAGCUGGUAGAGCACCGGACUUUUAAUCCGAUGGUCGGCGGUUCGAGCCCGCCACGGCCUACCA